rnacentral:rRNA from 1 species
UACGGGGGGGGCAAGCGUUGUUCGGAAUUACUGGGCGUAAAGGGCUCGUAGGUGGCCAACUAAGUCAGACGUGAAAUCCCUCGGCUUAACCGGGGAACUGCGUCUGAUACUGGAUGGCUUGAGUUUGGGAGAGGGACGCGGAAUUCCAGGUGUAGCGGUGAAAUGCGUAGAUAUCUGGAGGAACACCAAUGGCGAAGGCAGCUCUCUGGGACGGUACUGACGCUGAGACGCGAAAGCGUGGGGAGCGAACAGG